CAGCAGCCGCGGUAAUACGUAGGGGGCGAGCGUUAUCCGGAAUUACUGGGCGUAAAGGGUGCGUAGGCGGCCUUUUAAGUCAGAUGUGAAAGGCUACGGCUUAACCGUAGUUAGCAUUUGAAACUAAGAGGCUUGAGUGCAGGAGAGGAGAGUGGAAUUCCUAGUGUAGCGGUGAAAUGCGUAGAUAUUAGGAGGAACACCAGUGGCGAAGGCGACUCUCUGGACUGCAACUGACGCUGAGGCACGAAAGCGUGGGUAGCGAACAGGAUUAGAUACCCUGGUAGUCCACGCCGUAAACGAUGAGUGCUAGGUGUUGGUGGGGACACCCAUCAGUGCCGCAGCUAACGCAUUAAGCACUCCGCCUGGGGAGUACGGUCGCAAGACUGAAACUCAAAGGAAUUGACGGGGACCCGCACAAGCAGCGGAGCAUGUGGUUUAAUUCGACGCAACGCGAAGAACCUUACCAGGGCUUGACAUCCCUCUGACCGGAUUAGAGAUAGUCCUUUCUCUUCGGAGACAGAGGAGACAGGUGGUGCAUGGCC
rnacentral:rRNA from 1 species